rnacentral:rRNA from 1 species
GAUGAACGCUGGCGGCGUGCCUAAUACAUGCAAGUCGAGCGAACGGACGAGAAGCUUGCUUCUCUCAUGUUAGCGGCGGACGGGUGAGUAACACGUGGAUAACCUACCUAUAAGACUGGGAUAACUUCGGGAAACCGGAGCUAAUACCGGAUAAUAUUUUGAACCGCAUGGUUCAACAGUGAAAGACGGUCUUGCUGUCACUUAUAGAUGGAUCCGCGCUGCAUUAGCUAGUUGGUAAGGUAACGGCUUACCAAGGCAACGAUGCAUAGCCGACCUGAGAGGGUGAUCGGCCACACUGGAACUGAGACACGGUCCAGACUCCUACGGGAGGCAGCAGUAGGGAAUCUUCCGCAAUGGGCGAAAGCCUGACGGAGCAACGCCGCGUGAGCGAUGAAGGUCUUCGGAUCGUAAAACUCUGUUAUUAGGGAAGAACAUAUGUGUAAGUAACUGUGCACAUCUUGACGGUACCUAAUCAGAAAGCCACGGCUAACUACGUG